rnacentral:rRNA from 1 species
CGUGUAGGCGGCCUGCUAAGUCUGAAGUGAAAGUCCUGCUUUCAAGGUGGGAAGUGCUUUGGAUACUGGUGGGCUGGAGUGCAGGAGAGGAAAGCGGAAUUACCGGUGUAGCGGUGAAAUGCGUAGAGAUCGGUAGGAACACCAGUGGCGAAGGCGGCUUUCUGGACUGAAACUGACGCUGAGGCGCGAAAGCGUGGGGAGCAAACA